GGCAGAGACAGGAGCAAUUGCUGGUGUACCUUGGGAGCAUUGCACUUGUCUCGGUCUG
rnacentral:pre_miRNA from 1 species